rnacentral:lncRNA from 10 species
CCGGAGUUCAUGAGCUUGGCCAAGGGGAGCUGCCUGUAGCAUGUCUGCAGGGAAAAUUAACAUAAAACCGAAUAAGUGACAUCUUCAAGUGACUUCAUCAAUGGGAGCUAAGUCAUGCCAAAGUUGUCUACUUGGGGCAGCGUAAACAAAGAAAGAAGUGACAUACACCAACAUCGAUGGAGCCCCAAACAUUAUUCUGAGCAAAAGAUACCAGACCAAGAAGUGGAAUUUGGGAACCUGUCAUGACCUUUCACCACCAGAAAAGACCACCCUGACUGAUGAAUCUGGGCAAGUUACCACUGUACGGAUUGUGAGGUCGGUGACCGAAACUGCCGUUGAUCACAUGAAUAUAUAAAUGAAGAAAUAAAUGACAGAACCCAUGAGAAGAUGCUUGCUCGUGGAUUUUAAAUUUCCUAUUGGCUAGUCUGGAAUCACUUGGGGGUAGAACAAGAUAAAGUUGGCUGUAUCACCUAUGCAAACAUGGUAACAACAGCACAUUGACAUUAGAAAGUAAAACACUCAGUAUUCUAUGCAACAAGUUGGCAGAUUACAACCCAUGGGCCAGCUGCGUGCUUUUGUAAAUAAAGUUUUAUUGGAAAGCGGCCAUGCCCCUUCAUCUAAUGUGUUAUAGUGGCGGAAUUAACUUGCUGUGACAGAGACUGUAAGUCCCCAAAAGCCUAAAGUAUUUACUGUCUGGCUGUAUACAGAAAAAGUUUGCCAACCCCUGAUCUAUGCUAAAUACCUAUUACUGUCAUUGUUUAACAGCUGGAAACGGAAGCCACCUUAGUUAUUUUAGGGAGAAAGGGAAUUUAAUAAAGGGAAUUGGCAGUUUAUAAAAGCAGUGGAAGGACUGUAGUUGAGGACAGCACCCAAGACCUCCAGAAAUAGCUCCUAGAACAACCCCACAGAACCAGGCAAGGCAGGGAGUGCCUCCCCUUAGGGGUGAGGGAA